UGUAAGCGUAUACCAAAGUUGUUGCAGUUAAAACGCUCGUAGUCGGAAUUUGGCAGUUCCGGAUGUGUGCACGUCGUGUGCGCACUUCGCGGGGAUUGCUUUUGUGGUCUUGCGUAGGAUGAGGCACUUUUAUUAGUGAACGUCCUCACGCAACCACUUUUUACUGUGAGAAAAUCAGAGUGCUCAAAGCAGGCAUUUGCCGUGAAUGUAUUAGCAUGGAAUAAUAGAAUAGGACUUGGUCCUAUUUUGUUGGUUUGUUGGGACUGAGUAAUGAUUAAGAGGGACAGUUGGGGGCAUUUGUAUUUCGGUGCUAGAGGUGAAAUUCUUAGAUUACCGAAAGACAAACUGCUGCGAAAGCGUCUGCCAAGGAUGUUUUCAUUGA
rnacentral:rRNA from 1 species